GCUGAAUAGAAAGCUGAUCACCACCAUGAGCAAAGGGACCCACUACGGACCCUCAGAGGAGGCUCACUCGAAAAGAAUGUGAGGGCUUGGACCAUAGGCAACUCAGCAGUGACCAUCACAGACCUGGUGCCCUUCGCCAAGUUUCGGGAAUCCUGAAGUACUCGGAGUUCUGCAUGGAAGGAGAGUGAAGGGCCCUGAAAAGUGGGAUUGAAUUAUCUGAGGUCCUGGUCUGUGACCCUGAUGACUCAGCCUUUCAACGUCUUCAUCUUAAAAAUGGCAUGAUAGUAUUUACCUUAUUGGCUGUUUUGUGGAUUAAAUGAGGCCAUGCCCAUGGAUGAACAAUGUUGGAUGCCCAAUAAUCAACCAGUAAUUGAAAGCUUUAAUUAUUCACAAUAACAAUGGUGGUAGCAACAAAAGCAGCCAAAGCACCUGGAUGAUCACAGAAGCAUCUGGAUGAUCACAAAAGCAAGGCCCAUUCUGUCCAUGCCAUUUGAUUCCACAAGCUGGAAGAAUUGCUGCUCGCCCCAUUGUUUCCCUCGAUCCCUCAGGGCUGGGUUUCCUGCCCUGGAGAGGGACCCGCCAGCUCGCUCUGUUCCCUGCAGUCUCCUCUCUCUCCUCCGAAAUUCCUGGGAAGAGGCCCAGAGCAGAAGCCAAAUUGAUGCAGAAGAUGCACCACGAUGUGGUUGGAGCCCAGAAACUCACUGUGGGCACAAGGCUCCUUGGGGGGCUUAACAGCCAGCAGUCCUGCUUGUGUUCCAGAAGCUCUAGGAUGGUUGUGCCUUCCGAACCUAAGCCAGAAGGACCCUGAGGAGAGCUCUCUACUAACUUGCAGAAUCAAGAGAUUUCUUUUUUGCCCCCUCUUUUCCUUUUUUUCAAAAAUCAUUCUUCGGAAGCUGCUGCAUAGCACAGGGAGAUCAGCUCGGUGCUU